CCUUGGUAGCAGACCCUCCAGUUUGCCGUUUCCCCCCCUGAGUUCAGCUGAUGUCAGGGCCUGACCUCUCUAAUGGUCACCCCUUUACCUGUCAAGGGGCUGCCACCUCCCCUACGCCCCUUGCACUCUGUGUGUCCAUGCACGGUGCGCCCCAGAUUGAACCCUGCGGUCCCGUCCCCUGACAUCCCCACAGGUCAUGGCCACUGUCGCAACAGUUGCCUCGUAGCCCAGAUAGAUAUUUGCAUGCAGGGCUAACAGGAUAGAUAUAUAGCUAAGCUCCAGUCCAGAAUGGCCCCCAUGGCUGCUGUAUGGCAAAAGGUAAGGAUAGUCACUUGGGGCAGCUGUGCCGUAGAAGAAAUCUAAGAUGACAGUGGAGCACCCCAGGCCCGAAGGGCGAGCAAAAACAACAAGAUCGAGGGGCAGAGCCUGACAACAGUGGUGAAUGGACGCACAAACCUGUAGCUCCGUGCUCAAAAUAGCAAAAAAUACUGAAAUCUGGAACCCUCACCUCCAAAAAUUUACCAUAAGAGCCCACCGGGUUGACCUGAACAACAGCGACCACCAUCAGACUAAACUGCACCGGGGCUUACUAUUGGGGACAUGUGGAGGCAAGCGCAUGGCGCCAGCGGGCCCAAAAUGGCUGCGGUUGCCUAAACUUCUCAGACGAGUUGUCUGGCGACGCUGAUGAAGACGAACUACUCUGCACCGGCUCCCUCGUAAAGUGACGAAACAACAAAUCCGGGUUGGACUCCUCACCUGUGACCACAUCGGUCCUAAAAGUAUUGCUGGCAGACCUACAAAGGAAUAUCUUGGCAGACAUCACGGCGGUACGCAGUGACCUGCAAGGGCUGACUGGCCGCAUCGGGGCUCUAGAGGGAACUUCCCAAACAAGCACUCAACACAUUGCCAAGCUUCACCAAGCCGUACAUGACCUGCAGCAGCAGAACUUGCUACAUGAACGUCGUUUUGGGGCCCUAGAGGACACACUGAGAAGAAACAGUCUCAAACUCAGAGGGGUCUCGGAAGACAUCUCCGAAACGGAACUACCAUGUUUCUUGAGAGGCAUGCUGGCAGCCCUACUAUCAGAGACGGGAAAGCUAUCACCCUGGACAGAUUCUUUUGAAUCCCUAAACCCAACAAAGCACCAACCACAGCCCCCAGGGACUUAAUAAUUACCUUUCAAAACGACGACAAGGCAGUGGUCCUCACAGCACUAUGGGACAAAUCACCCAUUCACUUUGAAAACAUGGCGAUGUCCCAACAUUUACACAAGCAUUGGGAUUAAAACAAGUUCGUGGUCAGGACUGGUACAAUGAAUCUGGUUUUACACCUACUAUGCCACAACCACAGCGGUGCAGAGAAAUACCUACUCCUACCAGGAGUUCCAGAGGACUCACAACCUCAUUAACCUGAAUGGACCUGAAUCUCUGAUUCCUGACCAACACUUGCUGAAGAUGGCUUCUAGCCAUCUUUUUAGUUAACAUUACAUUCCUUGUUAUAAUUUUUAUUGCUUGACCUCCCACACAUGCAUUUCAGCCACUGUACAGAAGGAUGGUUAGGUUAACUCAAUAGAAAACUAAUCCCCAUUAACAUGAGGGUGUGUGACAGGGUAAACGUUUUAGUUCCAAAAAAAAAAAAAAAAAAGUUAAAACGUUACCUAGUCCUUAUAAUUUCCCAACACCUAUGGUUUCCAUAUCAAUGCUGGGGGUGGGAGAUAUUUAAUUGACCUCAUUCAGUAAUCACGAUCGAUGAGGCAUAAUGGGAUGUGAGCCUGAGUAUCACACUCCCAUCUAUGAGAUAUCUGGCUAAACAAAACCGUAGCACCACUAAUAAAUGAGCAUUCGCCCAGCCAGAGGGUCUGACCCACUACCCUAAUUUUCUACUGUCCGCUGGGGACCAGGAAAUAUCUGCUUUACACCAAAUGUUGACACGAAUCUCCUCAAACAACACUUUAACUACUCUUUAAUGACAAACACUUUGCUACAAAUUGUGCACACUAAGCUGUGCAUGAUUAACAUUCAUAUUAGUAUUUUUAUUUUAUCAUAUUUCUUGCAACUAGCACAUUUUCUUG
rnacentral:lncRNA from 1 species